rnacentral:lncRNA from 1 species
UCACUUUACUAAGGAUUUUCAUGGACUAAAUAGCAUUUUAAACAUACAUAACUUCAAAUAUGACUUAGAUUGGCCAUUCCAAUGGCUAAUCAUUUACAAACCCUUUUCUUACCAAACCAUAGCCAUAUCAUAAGAUCAUUUACACAAAGUGAGUAUUUUGCCAUACAUGCCACAUUCAAAACACACAAGCCAUUUUACCAAUUUAGGCCUUCAGAUAGUGUGAACGAGUCUUCGACCUAUCCCAAUUCUCAAGCCGGCUUGUUAAAACUACAAUGAAUGAAAAGGAGGGAGUAAGCAUAAAUGCUUAGUAAGUUCAUAUGCAAAUAACAAGUAACAUAACCAUACAAAUAUACCAAACAACCUUAGCAUGGUAUCACCAAAACAUAUAUCACAUUUCUAAACAUCAUUCAUCAUCUUACCACCUUAUCGUUGUUGUAUCUAUUUUCAACCCGAGGGCUAAGUACAUACCUGUCCAAAGUGUCCAUUUCACAACACUUACCAAAACGUCACUUGCAUCUUAAGUGUUCUUCCAUUUCACUAGAAAUUUUACCCGUUGAACACAUCGGAAUAUAACUCGGAUACAUGGAUAAUUUGCACAUAAGUGCCACAUAUGUAAUCAAGCAAUCAUGUAACCCGCCCCUAAGUGAACUCAGACUCAACUCAACGAGUUCGGAUGCUCAACCAUCCUAGUGACAUGUCACUUGUAUCCUAAUCUAUUCCUAAGGUUCAAACGGGAUUUUCCUCGAACACAUCUCCUUGCCAUCUUCCGUAAAAUACCGAAACCAAUACUCGGUAGCACUUUAUAUUUAACAAAUAAUACACAUAAUUUUCAAUUUAUUCGAAAAUAACCACAAAGCAUAUAUUUCAUGAUAAAAAUCAGCAUAUCAUAUAAUUAACAUCAAUAACUUAAAAAUAACAAUUAUGCUACAUUAUUUACACAUGAACUUACCUCGGCACAAAAUUUUUAACAAUCGAGCCUAUUCAUCGUAAACUUUGUUUUUCCCUCGAUCACGACUUGAAUCUCAUUUCUCUUGAUCUAUAAUACCAAAUUAAUCUUAUUUAAUAAAUACAUUCAUUAAAACAGUCCUUAAUAAGAACUUUGGAAAAAUUACCAUUUUUCCCCUAAACUUUUGCAUAAUUACACUUUUGUUCAUCCCUUAUUAUUAUGUUUUAUGACAUGCUGAUCAUUUUUCCCUUCUAUGGCAACAUCAAAUUCUCACUCUAACAUGUAUUUAUGACUACUAAAUAUUUUUACCGAUUAAGUCUUUUUACUCGUUUUCACUCAAAACCGAGUAGCACAAGUUGUCUAACAAAAUUUAAAACCUCAUAUUCUGUCAUAAAACACCAAAAUACACAAAUUUCACCUAUGGGUAUUUUUCCAAAUGUGAACCAUAGGUUGAAUUAUUGUUAACAUAAGCUAAAUCGAGCUACCGGGAUUUCAAAAACAUAAAAAUCAUUAAAAACGGGGCUUGAAAUCACUUACUAUGAAGCUUGAAAGUUGAAGAAACCCCAGCUAUGGAGGAAAGCAAAAUUCGGCAUAACAAUAUGGAGAAGAUGAUCAUUUUGGGUUAUUUUUCCUAUUUUUAUUUCAUUUAAUAUCCAAAUGACCAAAAUGCCCUUACUACUAAACUUUUCAAAAAUUCCAUCCAUGUCCAAUUUUUGUCCAUAGACUUAGAAAUUGGUCAAAUUGCUAUUUAAGACCUCCUCAUUAAUAAUCUAAAGCAAUUUCAUACUAAAAACUUCUAGAAUGCAAGUUUUGCGAAUUAUACGAUUUAGUCCCUAAUCUCAACUUAAGCACUUUAUGCAUAGAAUUUCAUCACGAAAUUUUCACACAAUCAUGCAAUCAUAUCAUAAACCUCAAAAUAAUUAUAAAAUAAUUAUUUUUAGCUCGGAUUUGUGGUCACGAAACCACUAUUCCGAUUAGGCCCUAAUUCAGGAUAUUACAUUGCAUAUUUAGUUUUUGGGUUAGGGACUAAAUUGUAAAAACCAGACUAAAUCGAAUAAAUUUUAAAACCUAGAAUCUACGCCUCUAGGUGAACAUGUAGAUAGGUGAGAUUGAGAGGAAAGCCUAUUAAGAACCAAUUCCAUUGUCACGAUUUACCUUGAUGAAAUCGACAGAUAAACUAAACUAAAUCACCUAAUUUAGUAAAAUAGUGAUCGAGAGGUAAAAUUGAACUAAUUAGGGAUUUAAACCCUUUAGAUCUCUAAUCCAAGAAUUAAUUAGCAACAUGGAAGUCAAACGAUCACUUUAGUUCUUUGAAUUGAUUUUUUGCACACUUUUGAUUAUUUUGCAAUUUAGUCAUUUUAUGUAGUAGAUAGUGUAAUUAAACAUUGAUAAUGAUUUGUCGUAAUAAAAUACUUAAUGAACAACUAGCUAGACUUGUUGUUUGCAUGCAUUUUCAUUGUUGAUCACCUUAUCACUCAAAUUCUCUUAAGUUCGAUCUUUGAAAUACUCUGUAUUCCAUUAUAACAUAAAAAUAUUACACUUGCAGGUAACUGCCAUAGUUCUAAUUGUAUUUGUGUUGAUUCCAUAACCUCAAGACACGAAUGCCAAAACACGAUCAACAAAUAUAUUAGAACUAAAUGAAAGUAUUAAUAUAUAAAUUGUUACAAAUUACUAUAUUCAUAUAUUAGAACUAACAAUUUUAAUGGAUUAAAAAACUAACAUUUUUAAUUUUACCUCUCUAAGCUCAUAUAUAAAACUAUUUUUAACAUUUUAUAAAUUAAUGAGAAAACGAGAGUGAAAAAGAGUUGAGUAAAAUUUUUGGGAGAGAUGAGUGAAAAUUAAAAAUGAGAGUGGAGUGAAAAUGGGUAAAUAGAAGCUGAGUGUUUUUUUUACCGUUUGAAUUCUGAUUGGAUUGGCGACGUGACGAGACCUUUGUGCAGCAGGAAAUCGGUUCACGAUAGAUCGAUUUUCGUCCCUCGGCCGUCGUCGGACUGACGUGACAUCUUGCAUCGGUUAGGCAAAAUGGUUUUCCGUCGUUU